CUAUAGAAAACUUUAUCACAUAGAAAAACUUGCCAUGUGAACAACGAAGUUUAACCACCAUACAGAGGAACACAGAGAAGAGUCACUACUUAUGCAAGAGGACGAACCAGAAAACUUGAUGGCUUCAAAAGAAAAUGAAGAAGACGUUUAUCCCCUUGGAAGGUGGAGUGGGCUGUGUGCGUAUCCACCCAUCGGCUGUUAUUCUGACCUGGUGAAAGUGAGCGGCCAUUACCAACCAGAAGACAGAAAGCAGAUCUGGUGAAGUCUAGCAGGACAAGCCAUUGUUGACUGGGAGAAGAGACACACAAACUGCCACAACAGGCUUGUGAAGAAAAUCUGUUAUAUUAAAGUCCAGCCAUAAAACAGACAAUAAAUGAAACUGCAAC
rnacentral:lncRNA from 1 species